AGCUGAAUCUUUGUUGUUGAAUAAUUGAAUUAGGGGUUGUGAUGUUUUGGAAUGAGUUGCUAAUCGAAUUUUGUUACUAUCCCUGUUACGGUUGCCUCGGCGGAGAGAAGUUUUUUCAAAUUGAAAUUGAUAAAAAGUUAUCUUCGCACUACCAUGUCACAUGAACGAUUGAAUGGAUUGGCAAUGAUAUCAAUUGAAA